rnacentral:tRNA from 1 species
UGGCUCAGUUGGUAGAGCAUGGUGUUUGCAACGCCAGGGUCGUGGGUUCGAUUCCCAU